rnacentral:rRNA from 1 species
AUGUGCAGCGCAGCGCCCCCUUUCCAUCGUAGAACUACCACGCCGCCGGCCGCCGUGCAGCACUCCUCGGUCUCGCCUCCGGCAUGGCCGCCGGGAUGCAAUAGCCCGCCUCACCUUCGUACUACAACAACCCCCGAGAUGCAACAUGCUCCCUCGCCGGCGGUGGCGGCGGCGCACACGCCGAGCUGGGAGACGGUCGACCUGCUGUCGUUGAUGCCGUCCACGGCCUCGGCCACGACGACCGCGGCCAUGCCCGGCGGCCGGGACCACAACCACGACUCCGAAUGUGCCUGUGUUGUUCUUACCAAGUUUUCUGAAGCAUACCACAUUCAGCCUUUCUGCAAGGUACACAACUUGCUCGCUACAGAGGAAAGAGAUGAUGCACAUUACUCCUUUCUGCAAGUAAAGAAAGGAUAUGUUCUCAUAACAAGGAUGGAAAGUAUAACGUCCUACAAAAACCAAUAUGGACAACACAGAUCUGGAACUCAAGAACAACUUGGUACUCAUGUAGCUGCUAAUGACAUGUGUGCACUGGAUGAAUGGCCAUCCCAUGCUCGCCGCAACCGUGCACAACUAUGGAAUGAAAGUGAUGGACAGAAUAAGAAAGGGCGAGGUGUACUUUUCGUAUUUAGGACAAAGCAUUUAAAGAGGUUCAAAACAAAGAAAAUGAAACUGAAGGUCCAGUUUCCAGUGAACAUAGAAGCAAUAUUUUCCAGACCGCAUAGAAAGGCACUCCGCAAUGCAACUCAUCACAGCCUCAUGGGUAUGGAUACAUGGCCAAACCACCAAGUGGUUCUGAAAAGGAUUAAAUCACAAUUUGAAGAGCAAGCACGUGCUACAGCAGAGAUCCAAAAGGUAAACUCUGAGCUCAGCCAUCAGGUCACCAAAUUACAAGAUCAAUUACAAGCUGAACGUGAAAGCACACAAGAGAGGAUUAACUUCGAGCGUGCUGAGAGAGAAAACCUUGAGGAGAGCUUAAAAGAAGAGCGUGCUGAUAUGGAAAGAUUGUUGGAAGAGGAGCGAAGAUCAACAUUGAAAUUUGAGAAAAACAUGAUGGCAAAGUUUGCACAGUUAUCCCAACAGACGCAAACACAUCAGACCGCUAGUACUACUGGGACUCUUGGUACAAGGCACAAUGUAAUUGCUCCCAAUACGCUCAUACAAGCUGCAACAAUUCGAAUGUUUCGAGCAAUGGAUCCAAAGAUUAACUAG